rnacentral:lncRNA from 1 species
CCUGAUGGCCGACUUGUUGCUCCGCCUCACGCUGACCUGUGCUCGCCUUAUGGCUGAACUGUUGCUCCGAGUCCGCCUGACGAGCCACCUGUUUCUCCGGAUCUGUUUCUCCGCCUAACGGCGACGUGUUUCUCCGGACCUGUUUCUCCGGACCUGUUUCUCCGCCUAACGGCGACCUGUUUCUCCGGACCUGUUUCUCCGCCUAACGCCCGAGCUGUUGCUCCGCCUAACUCCUGACCUGUGCUCGCCUCACGCCCGACCUGUUGCUCCACCUCACGCCCAGCCUGUUGAUCGGUGGACGGGUAAGCGCGCAUGGCAUCGGAAGGAGCUCGAAAAGUAUAAGGUGAUGACAGUAAGUAACGUUACUGUGAUUUGUGAUCUUUCUGGGGUGUUAACUGUAAAGCAAUGGAUAAUUGCGUGAAAAUCAAACUAAAAGAAUGCAAUCUUGAGGAGUUAAUCCCCACAUUUGAAGGAACGAACCUUUCCUCGUUUUUAGGUCAAUUUGAAUACAAUUCAGAGGGGUGGCAUGGGGGCGCAGUGGGUAGUGCUGUCGCAUCACAGCAAGAUGGUCGCUGGUUUGAGCCUUGGAUGGGUUUCCCCUCCACAGUCCAAUGACAUGCGGUGUAGCUGAAUUGGAUUGGGACCAAUAUUGCUGAGUAUCUUCAUCCAUUGAAUUCAAGAAUCUAUUGAGUUUCCUCAUGUUCUCAUCCUUGGAGACCACCACUUCUUUCAAGCCUUUGCUCACGUGCUGUGC